rnacentral:rRNA from 1 species
GAUGAACGCUAGCGGCAGGCUUAACACAUGCAAGUCGAGGGGUAUAGGUUUUCGGACCUAGAGACCGGCGCACGGGUGCGUAACGCGUAUGCAAUCUACCUUUCACAGAGGGAUAGCCCAGAGAAAUUUGGAUUAAUACCUCAUAGUAUAGCAGUUUCGCAUGAAACCACUAUUAAAGUUCCAACGGUGAAAGAUGAGCAUGCGUCCCAUUAGCUAGAUGGUAAGGUAACGGCUUACCAUGGCUACGAUGGGUAGGGGUCCUGAGAGGGAGAUCCCCCACACUGGUACUGAGACACGGACCAGACUCCUACGGGAGGCAGCAGUGAGGAAUAUUGGUCAAUGGACGCAAGUCUGAACCAGCCAUGCCGCGUGCAGGAUGACGGCGUUAUGCGUUGUAAACUGCUUUUAUACAGGAAGAAACGACUCUUGCGAGAGGCAUUGACGGUACUGUAUGAAUAAGCACCGGCUAACUCCGUGCCAGCAGCCGCGGUAACAC